rnacentral:rRNA from 1 species
CGGUCCAGACUCCUACGGGAGGCAGCAGUGGGGAAUAUUGCACAAUGGGCGAAAGCCUGAUGCAGCGACGCCGCGUGAGGGAUGAAGGCCUUCGGGUUGUAAACCUCUUUCAGCAGGGAAGAAGCGCAAGUGACGGUACCUGCAGAAGAAGCGCCGGCUAACUACGUGCCAGCAGCCGCGGUAA